AUGUUCAUAACCCUUUGUUGUCCGACUCUGUUGCCUCCGGGGCGACCCUGCCUUCGGGCGGGGGCUCCGGGUGGACACUUCAAACUCUUGCGUAACUUUGCAGUCUGAGUAAACUUAAUUAAUAAAUUAAAACUUUUAACAACGGAUCUCUUGGUUCUGGCAUCGAUGAAGAACGCAGCGAAAUGCGAUAAGUAAUGUGAAUUGCAGAAUUCAGUGAAUCAUCGAAUCUUUGAACGCACAUUGCGCCCCCUGGUAUUCCGGGGGGCAUGCCUGUUCGAGCGUCAUUUCACCACUCAAGCCUCGCUUGGUAUUGGGCAACGCGGUCCGCCGCGUGCCUCAAAUCGACCGGCUGGGUCUUCUGUCCCCUAAGCGUUGUGGAAACUAUUCGCUAAAGGGUGUUCGGGAGGCUACGCCGUAAAACAACCCCAUUUCUAAGGUUGACCUCGGAUCAGGUAGGGAUACCCGCUGAACUUAAGCAUAUCA
rnacentral:rRNA from 1 species